UAAGCAGAAGUCAGCAAACACGUGCACAGAACUCAGAAGUAGGAGCAUAUCAGUAUUCUAUUUUUUCUUUAAAUACUUGAAAGAACACCUCUAAAGGCCUUUAUUUUACUCAACUGUUGGGUUUUCAUGCCAUUCAUACCGAAGACUAGCUCAAGUUUGCAAGAUUCUUAUAAGCAGUCUCAGAUGACUUCUGUAUUACUCUAUACAACUUAAUGUAAAAUUAAGCCUCUACACCAAAUACUUUCUCAAAAAUAAUUUGGAACUUAUCAAUUUUGUAAAAUUCAAUCAUUUACUGAAAUUAUUAGUUUUGACGAGCAUUUUAUGCUUAUGAAAAUCCAUUCUCUUCUUUAGCAGCAACCACAUAAGCUGUCCUUUAUUGCCUAGCUUAUGGCCAGAACUAGGCAAUUUUUGCUUCUUUAGUUUUUGUGUUGUCUCAAUUAAAAAGUUCUCUGGACACCAUAAAAGCUGCUAACCCAAAGAGUACCUGAAUUUCUAAUACAACUAACAUGUGGAAAAAAUAGAAAUUACACUUUUUGAGAUCAUUACGUAAAUACUACGAGAAAGGACAUAUAAUUGCUUCUUUACAGGUCACCUUUAAUAUAGAUGCAUUAUGUACAUUUGGCAUUUAUUGCUGGUUAGAUUGCAAAACAUAUAAUUUAAUGCACACUAAGUGCACUGUGGUCAAGGUAACGCUGCUAUUCAAAGUCUAAAGUGAUGUUGGUCUAAACCCCAAUUUUCUUCAUCUUGGUUAUGACUAAUAAUUUGUAUGCAUUUUGUAGCAACUCCCCUUUUCAUGCUCCUGUUUACAGACCAAAUGGUUUGUAACAUAGGUUUCUGUACUUGCAUUUCACUUUCAAGAAAUCAUCACUGAAGCUGAAACAGGAAAAUAAUUAGACCUAUGAAACAACAGGGAUUUUUCUCAAAAGUAGCAAUUCUGCAUGAGUUAACACAGAACUGUUAUCUGUUUAUUUACAUGAACAAUUACAUAUUACAGUAAUAUUAUGUGUGCGUAUCAUUAGUCUUCAGGAAACUAGUUUAUUACCAAAAAAACCACAGAAGAACUUAAUUCAUGAGCAUAAUAUUCAAAAUAUUCAGUUCGCAAAGCUGAAACAGGAAAUUCUUUGGAUUGGUUUUUAGGAUACUUCUCUGUCUAGCCAUUCCAUUUUCAAAGAAUCUGUGUAAUAUUCAUAUUUUGUAAUAUUUUUAAAAGUUAUUCCACUUUUAUUUAAGCUGUGCCAUUUAAUCAAUCCAGUGUUUUCAAUGACAUUACUUCUUAACAGGAUCUGGAAUGAAAGUGGAUUUUCAAAAUAUGCAGAAUGUUUUUUUUGAAGUUUUCUUUCUUUUAAUACUUUUGGUAGUUUCUUUCAUCCAAAUGCCUCAAUAUAUUUUUCCACUUCAUGAAGUGUCUUGUGUGCGAUGCACACCCUACUUGGUGCACUUCUUGGAGCAUCUCUGAAGAGAAGGAAGUUCGCCUGAUGAGCUGGGAACAGUUAUCAAGAGCUCAGUGCUGAGCGUGAUCAUCAUGGGGAUAUUUCUAAGUUCCUUGUUGUCUCCUCAGCUUUAGUAACCAAAAUGGGCCUGCAAGAAACAUUUUCCUUGCAUCCAGAGCCUGGACCCACUUGUGGCUUUAGGUUCUGCAAAGGUUGGCUGUAUUCCCUUAGGUGAAAAGGGGACCAAGGCUCCUGUUCUUACUGUCUCUUUCAGUCAAGGGCAGGUGACACACACACGCUUGGAUACAGCCAUUUCCCGGCUACUGCUCAAGCAAAGCUGAGCCAUUUUUCUACCCUUCCCUAUGCUGCCAAGAAAAAGAGAGAAAAGGAGCACAGCUGGAUUCUGGGCACAUACUGAGGUGAAAUGCCAGCCUGCGUUAGCUGUCUCUUGUGCCCACACUUCCCCAAAAAUGACACCUAAAUGUGCAGCCCAGAAGAGAGCACCCACCAGUAGGACACCGAAAGUUAACACAGCACACCCUUGCCAACUGAGCCAUGUUUGUGCAGGGAGGACUGAACAGCAGAUAUAUCUGACUUUUUGGAGUUAAAAGCUUCUCCGGGGGUAGUGUGCAACUGAGUAGGGUGUUUAGGUCAUACUUCUAGACUUAGGUACCUCAAAUCUGCCUAAGUCAGGCUUAAGGUGCCUGCGUCCUUUAUUGGAUCUGUCCUUAAGCGACCUGCUAAAGGUCACGUUGUGACUUAGCAGUCGAGCCAGAAGAGGAGCCUUGAUCGUACUGGUCGUGGAUCUGUUCUGCCUAUUAUGCAAUGUUUCACUUUUAAGCAAUUUAUUAAACUAAUUGUCUUUGAAUAUACCAUCACAUUUAUUUCACUCCUUUCUCAUUUUAAAAAUAAACUCCUAAAAUUACCCGUAUGCUGUCUCUAUCUUGUGUGACCUAGCUGUCUUUUCUAAAUUUCUUUCUUCGUCUCUGACUGCAGAUUAGAUUUCCUGUUCUAUUGCUCUCCAUUUCUCCUUCCUGUUCUUACUGAAUGAUUCCUUGUGAUCCAUUACUGGCCUCUCAGCCUCCUCCUACCUGCCCAGCUGAAUCACCAAAUGCUCUAGAUCUUACUACUUACCACAGAAUCUCACACUGCUUCUGAUUUACUUACUGUGUCAGUACAGUUCUGCUUGAAAGAUCCCCCUCAUUGUUUAAAUAGCAUUAGAAAUGAAGGUGAAUAUGUUAGUGUACAAAAGAUUUACUCUUCUUACGUACAGAUGUAUUUUCUGUUACUUUGCAAUUCUUACUGAGUUACCCUGUUUCAUAAUUGCAGUGAUGUUGAGAGACUGAUCCAAGGGCAGCAGUUCACUUCAUGCUGGAGUCUCUUCUUGAGGCAGUGAUAGAUACCCUGCAGUUUAGUCUACCUUGACUUUGGAAAGUGGGAAGGCAGGAUUUAAAGCUGGGCCCCAAUAAAGUUCCACAGUUAGCACAGGCACAAUGGUGAUAUAGUACACAUAGAUAACAUGGUAGACAUCAGAGGAUUUUUGUUCUGGAUUUUAGGAUGUUUAACAUCUGUUUAUGUUCCUGCUUCCUAUUAUGUUAGUGACUAUGUACCUCUAGUAGUUCUGGCUAAAGUGACUAAAUACUUCUUGAAAAAACUGUAUGUAGGUGGUAAGAGUUGACUUGGGCAUAGGUGAGAAUAGUGUGAGGGAUGGGAAAUGGCAGAGAUUGAAAAGCCAUUAAUUGUAUGCAGCUCAUCUGCUUGAGAAAUUGGUGUGUGCUUUGAGUGCAAUUGCUUAUCCUGCAGUGUUCCUGGCUUUUCCUCUACAAAUAUAUCACUUCUUAAUUUGUGUCUCUCCCUCUAUUAUAUUUCUGAAAAGCUAAUUAUUCCCUCAGUGGAACAGAUGUUUGUGCUUUGAUCUACUGAAAUAGUAUUUUCUCAGAUCCUUCUGAAUAUUGUUUGUGAAAAGAGAUACCAACAAUAAUUUUUAAGUCUUUGCUUUAUGUUAAAAACAUUUCACGGCCUGGUGUUUGUGACAGAUGUACUUAAUUUGAAGAAGAACAUAAUUAACAGUUACUGGGGUACUCUGAGAACUUACCUGCCCAGGACAGAUAGCAAACUGAAGGUGAAGAUGAAGCAAGUAAAAUGGCCAGCAUUAAACUGCUCUGCUGAUGGUUUUAGUAGAAGUAGAGUGGCCCAAAGGACACAGGAUUGAGCACUGGAGACCGAAGAUCACUC